GUUCAAGUUUUACGAGCCAAGUACUAUCCGGAUGGGGACUUGAUGAAUGCUACCUUGAAAAAAGAUUCAUCAUAUACAUGGCAAAGUAUCAUGGCUGGUAUGAAAACUUUUAAACAUGGGGUGAUCCGGCGACCUGGGGAUGGUGCAUCUAUUGACAUUUGGAAGGACCAGUGGAUCCCUACAAGCCAUGAUCGGAAGGUAAUGACCCCAAGGGGGCAAUGUUUACUACAGAAAGUACAAGAGCUGAUUGACCCAAUAUCUGGAUAUUGGGAUGAACAACUAGUAAGGGAAAUUUUUUGGCCUGUGGAUGCGGAAAAGAUGCUGCAAAUACCACUAUCAUCCCAUGGCCAGUCUGAUUUUAUUUCCUGGCAUUUUUCUAAGUCGGGAUGUUUCACUAUUCGUUCUGCAUACCAUGCCACAUGGAAAUCUGAAUACAGAACAAGGGCACGGAUGAACGCUGGAGCGGGAAGGAUUGAUCCGCACCCGGUCUGGAAGGUCCUUUGGGGGAGGGCGGUGCCGCCUAAGGUGAAUGUAUUCAACUGGACAGUGUUGCACGGGAUCGUGCCAUGCUACUGUACGCUAUCAGAUCGUCAUUUGUCGACGCCGGUGGUUUGUCCAGUGUGCUGUAAGGACCCUGAGGAUUUGCGCCAUAUGUUGUUUACUUGUGAUCGAGCAAAGAUUGUCUGGAGGGAGCUUGGUUUGGAAACUGCGAUCGAGACGGCCGCGGCCCAUGAGCGAUCUGGGUCGGUCAUUCUUGAAAAUCUAUUGUGCUCCGAGCUACCAGGACAGAUAAAAUUGGCAACUGAUAAUGGGGUGGAGACAGUAAUGGUUACUGGAUGGUACUUGUGGUGGGAUCGUCGGAAAAUCAGUCAUCAUGAGACUUUUAGUAGCCCGGUUCGGUCGGCCAUGAGUAUUCGUGGUAUUGUGGCAAACUCGCUGCUGCCAAAGCAAAUGUAUCGGUGA
rnacentral:rRNA from 1 species